ACAUUAUAAGGAUCUAAGUAAACACAAUUGCAACAACGAAAUGUGUACAUUUUUGUCUGAAUGUGAAUAUAUCUUAAUGCAGAAAUAGUGUAUUAUUGUUUGUCGAAGUUUUGUUUAUCAUAACAACAAAAAUAUAACUAUACAACCAUAAACACGGCAUUCUAACCAAUUGGUAUAAAUGUUCGGCCUAAAAGCAGGCACGACAACUCUGUAUAUACACAAUAUAUACGCUAACGCAGCAGGCUGUUUGAAUAUAGGGAAAUCGAAAGUAGGUCUGACAAUAAAGACAUCUGAGCAUGGCUGCUAACUUCGGGACAUCGCAGAAUAAAGGAUCGGAAGAAAAAUACGACGUGUGCUGUUCUGUUUGCGAGGAGGAUAGUGCAUAUAAAGGAUGGUUUUAUUGUCAGAAAUGUUCCAAAUAUUUCUGCAACGAGUGUGUGAUAAUGCAUUAAAAGCUACUGAAGGAUCAUUCAGUAUCAGCGAAAGGUAAAUGUGACAACGGGCCUGUUAAUAAGAAAGUGGAUGAUACUCUGGAGUUAUGUGAGGAGCACGCUACUGAGAAAGUGACGAUGUUCUGUGAAGAUCACGAGAAGCUGCUUUGUCAGUUAUGUCUAUUUCACAACAACCACAGGCAAUGCAGCCAUGUAGUUUAAUUAUCUGAAAAAUGCAAAUCUUCAACACAACCUAUAAUCGUAACUGAGAUUGCAUAAAAAGCGAACAAUUUCAGAAACGCUUAGCAGAAACGAUGAACAGAAUUGAACAGAAUAUGAAGUCUCUGAAAACAUCAUAUGAAACUAUCCUGUAAGAAAUUCUUGAUUUUCGUCGACAGAUCAACGACCGUUUAGACCUUCUACAACAGCAUACAAUACGUGAAUUGGAUAAGUUGCACUCCAGUUUAAAGAAUUCUUCGGAGGAUGAAUGCAAACAAUGUGAGACAUUUAUUUCAAAGAUUAAGGUGCAUGAUUUCAAAAGCAUUAAAUCGCACGCGAAAUCAUUCAUUUUGCAUAGAAAACAUCUUGACCAAACUGCUGCGGAAGAGUUUUUUCUUCGAAACGUUAACACGAACGUAGACAUUGAAUUUGAUCACAACAAAGACUUGGAGAAGAGUCUCGCUUCUUGCACAGAUCUCGGGAAAAUCCCUAGUCGCGUUGGUAUGGUGUCAACUCAACAUGUUGGUCCCAACAAGGUCAUUAAUGUUCAAGGAAACUCAAAAUUCAAAUCGGGAACAACUACUGAUACCAAUAAAUGCUCCAUAACUGGUAUAUUUGAGAUGUCAAACGAGAAUCUCGUCAUUUCUGAUGUAAACAAUUGGUGUGUUAAACUCCUCGAUCCAGCGUAUAACGUAAAAGGGCAACUAAAGCUAACUACGUAUCCGUGGUCUAUUUGUGGCAUUUCCCCCAAUGAAGUUGCGGUGACUAUAAGCGACUGUAAGUCUCUUAAUGAGAUUCAUUUCUUACAAGUGGACACUGGAAAGCUUAUUACGAUAAAACAUAUGCAACUGUCUCAUCGAUGUUACGGAAUAGCGCAUAACAAGGGCGACAUGUUCGUAACUUCUGACACUGCUUUGCUCCACUAUACAACAGAUGGACGAUUAGUGAAGAAAUUGUACGAAGAUAAGUCUUCAUUUUUCUCAGGCAAUGCAGCCAUAUAGUUUUAUUAUCUGAAAAAUGCAAAUCUUCAACACAACCUAUAAACGUAGCUGAGAUUGCAUCAAAAAUCGAACAAUUUCAGAAACGCUUAGCAGAAACGAUGAACAGAAUUGAACAGAAUAUGAAGUCUCUGAAAACAGCAUAUGAAACUAUUCUGGAAGAGAUUCUUGAUUUUCGUCGACAGAUCAACGACCGUUUAGACCUUCUACAACAGCAUACAGUACGUGAAUUGGAUAAAUUGCACUCUAGUUUAAAGAAUUCUUCGGAGGAUGAAUGCAAACAAUGUGAUACAUUAAUUUCAAAGAUUAAGGUGCAUGAUUUCCAAAGCAUUAAAUCGCAUUAGAAAUCAUUCAUUUUGCAUAGAAAACAUCUUGACCAAACUGCUGCGGCAGAGUUAUUUCUUCGAAACGUUAACACGAGCGUAGACAUUGAAUUUGAUCACAACAAAAACUUGGAGAAGAGUCUCGCUGCGUGCACAGAUCUCGAGAAAAUCACUAGUCGUGUGGCAUUUCCCCCAAUGAAGUUGCGGUGACUAUAAGCGACUGUAAGUCUCUUAAUGAGAUUCAUUUCUUAUAAGUGGACACUGGAAAGCUUAUUACGAUAAAACAUAUACAACUGACUCAUCGAUGUUACGGAAUAGCGCAUAACAAAGGCGACAUUAACGAUUAGUGAAAAAUUGUACGAAGAUAAGUCUUCAUUUUUCACAGGCCUUGUACAGUUGUAGGAGUUGCAGUAAGCAAUGAUGGACAAAGGAUCUAUGUGACCAACACUGAUGCGGGCAGAUUUGUCACCCUGGCCAUGGAUGGAGCAGUCAAAGCCACGCUCCGGGAUUCUGCAUUUAUACAUUCAGAGAUAGCAUGUAACAUACACGUGGCAGCCACAGGACAUGUGUUUGUCUUUGGAAGUAAAUCAAUAUGUCAAGUAGCCACAGACGGAAAGAAAAUUCUAGCCACAGUCGAUGAAGAUGGCUGUCCUAGAUCUGUUUUCGUCAAUGUACACAACAGCAAGUUACUUGUUGGAAUGUUUGAUAUCGACACCAUUACGGAGUUUAAGACAGUGAUUUCAUGACUUCUUAACUGAUAUGUCAAAGUGUACUGAACUGAGUGAACUAUGGUAUUUUUGUGAACACUUGAUUAAAAUGCAUUUGAUUAAAAAUAUGUACAUGUUACUAUCCAAUGGUCAGUGCGCGUGUUAAACAGUUGUACGGCUUUGACGUCAGUUAUUAAUUCCAUAUACCGUGUACGCCAUUCGCGAUUACCUCGUAUGAAUAUUUGAUUUAUUCGCCAAACUCGAACCAAAAUCAAAAUGAAUUGCAAGUACACAUACACAAAUAAUUUAAAAACACAAUCCCGAGUCAAAACGUUUAAUGCAUAUUGUCUUUCAACAAUUUUAACACAUAGCUUCACAUGUAUUGUAUGUGUAUACGAAUCAAUUGCAAGAAACUUUACAGUUGCACACAACCUUGUACUAUGUCAAGUAAUAAAACAGGAAAUAUAUGUUGUAUUAUAAAAGUGGAGGUCUAAUUCUAGUCAUGCGUAAUAUAUUGACGCAGAAUGAUACGGCAUGCCAUUUGGUCAACAUAACAUUUUACACACGCCUAUAUGUCGUUUUACCCGGACAGGCAGAUACCAACUCUCGGCAAGAGCAGUUGAACUGUCUACAGACACUAUUUGAGUCUGCUUAUUAUUUAAAAAUUCACUUCGUCUGAGUUGGAAACACUAAACGACGUUUAAUUAUAAAUAAUACCACAUACUUAAAGUUUUUCUAAAAUCUGUCAUAUAAUUCAUGGUGUAAAACUUUAUUGUGCUUUCAAUAGUUUAUUCUCUCAGCGAUAAAAAAUCAAUAUCAUACAU